GUCUGCAUGGCUCAGUUGGUUAGAGCGCCGGUCUCAUAUACUGCACGUAUGAGUCCUCUGUGAGGAUGAAAUCCGGAGAUCGCCAGUUCGAUCCUGGCUGCGGACA